GGUUUUUAGUAGAGCAAGAGGUGAGAAAAUGCUUUGGGGAACUCCCUAUAAAAUCUGCCCUUAAUAUAAUGGGAGACCUAUAGGACAGAGUGGAAAGACACAAAAGCCAUGGAUGGAAGUACAUAUAAAUUAGGGGUGAAUAUUAGCUCAUAAUCUCAUUUCCUCCAUCUCUGCCCUUCUUGGCUCCCUAUACCUGGACAAAGUGGUUCCUUACCUUAGAAAUAAACUCACUCUCCUUUCCUAAAUACAUCUUUUCCUUGCUACCCACAGUAGGCUUUGGAAUAAGACAUUUCUGGACUCAAGUCCUCCUUCUUUCAUUAAUGAUUUAUGUAGUCUUCAGUAAUUUGGAUGGCAAGAUUUCAUUUCUCAUAAACCUGAGAAGAUUAAGAUGAAUUACCAGAUUAGUUUGAAGAGAGUGAGAGAGUUGGUGGUUAGAAAUGCAAAAAUGGGAUAUCCAGGUACAACCAGAUAUUUAUCAGAAUUUCCCAUGAGAACUUUGUGUUAUGGUCUAUAGAGCUUGUUUUGCUAAGAGCCUUUCAGUUGCUAGAGACUUCAUUGACUCAAUCUACUAGAAGUCUGGAAAGAGAACUUGUUUCAGUCAUACCUGGUUUCCCAAAUAAUUAGUCAUCUAUUUUCUUCUACCUACCACAGGUAGAGUCCUCCAGAAGCAGAUGCUGAGAUGGAGCUCAGAGUGCAAGCUGUUACCUGUGAAGGGAAAGGCAGAGGGAGAAAUGAAACCAUGAUGAAGGCCCCGCAAAACCUCGACCAACCAGCUGAGUUAAUACUCUGUAUUGACUGUGAGGUCUUUCCCAAGACUGGUCAAAAUAGCCAGGCUUUGUAUGCGACCUUGCUCAGUCACUAAUGCGGGCUGAGCCAUGAAGGGCAUGAUCUCAGUGUGGAGAAUAACUGUGGGAUUCUGCAAAAUGCUGAAUGGGAAAGUAGCACAAGAACACAAUAACAAAGAGCCUUUCAUGCUGCAAGGAAGAGUACUCCUGUUGGCAUGGAGAACCUCUAACACUGGGACUGCAAAAUGGCAAACCUGUGAAAAGAAAGAGAUUUCUAUAUUCAGAAAUACAGGAUACCUUUAAAGUAGUGUCAGUUUAAUGUGUGUGUGUGUGUGUGUGUGUGUGUGUGUGUGUGUAUAGACACAUGAUUUUUUUGUCUCUGUAAGUACGUACAAAUCUUUUAUUUAAAAUCUCUUUGGUUGGGUUUAUGAAAGGUUUCUCUCUUUGGAGUUUGUCUUAAAUAUAAUAAUCCAGGGCUUAUACUCAGAGGGCACAUGUCAAAAUAGCCACACUAUUUAUUAAAUAUUGAAAUAUUUUUCUACCCAUUGGGAAAUGGUAUAGUAGUAAAUGUGAAUGAGAUAAAUUCUAAAAUUAAUUAACGAAUUUCAGCACAUGUGGUUUUUCUCAGAAACCACACGUCACUGUGAUUCCAAGAUUUUUAAAAAUUUUUCUGGUCUGGGCACUGGAGCACAGAACUGGAAGGCCCAUUGAAGAGAUCCUGUUAUUUAUUUCAGGUGUUGAGGAAUUUCUUUUGGGUUCAAAUGUCCCUGGUUGGGAGAAGGGAAAUCACACAGUCACAUUGAGGAGAAAUUUGGUGACGGUUGAAGAGUUUGGGAGAAGCCUGGGGCACAGGCAGCACAAGUGGGGCUUAAAUCACUCAAGUAUGAUUGGGACACUUUGCUUUAUUGGAAAACUCUUCCCUGGUGGUACUGACCAUCCCUGCACCAUGUGCAGAGGUUUAUGAGAAGGGGAUCUCCUGGGAUCCCUUUCAAAGGUCAAAAGAAUGUGAAAUGCAAGGAGUAACCAUGAGACCCUUCUCUCUGUCCCCUCCCUACUGCUCAUAGCCAGUUCUCCCCAUGGAGGAACCUCAAGAUACCCUGGCCCUCCCAUCCCUGCCCCGUCUGCUCCUACAACUCUUCCAAGCACUGGCGCUGGCUGAGUCUGGAAGCAAUUGCCCUUUCUCUUUACCUCUUCUUUCCCAUCUUGCAAUUGUCCUGCUUAUUAACUGGGCUUCAACCGGCUGUCCCUGUCCCAGCACCAGUUGUUUCCUGACUGGACUUUGCAGAGAGGCAACCAUCUCGCCUUUCUUGCGUGGAACAAAGCAGGCAAAACACGCAGAUUCUUAAUCAGGUAACUAGAAUUGGCCAACAACCACCCCCCUUGUCCCCUCUUCCUAACUUUCUUUUGUUUUGAUAGGAUUUAUUAUUAUUUAGGAUGGUAAGGCCAACAUAUCAGGAGACAAUGGCCAUUGGAAAAAAUUAUUAUUAUACACACAGAUCCCAAGUGAGAGAAUACAGGUCAUGCCACUGAGGGCCACAGGGAAGCACCAGGCAGUCCGGAGGCAGAGCGAAAAAACUGCCUUUAGCCAGAGCCUUUACCAUGUUUUCCAUAUGCAGGGUAAACAGGUUUGGGAUUGACUAGUCUGAAUCAUUUCAGUGGACUUUGGAGCAUAGGAGCUGUCCCAGGUGUCUCACAUCUGGUCCUGCAGUGAUUAGGGCUGGUGGACUGUGGCCAGGAGUGUGAGAGCCUAAUAAGGGAGGUGGUGAGAAGUGUAGACUCUGAACUGGUUGGUUUGUAUUUGGAAAGAUUGGCCCUGGGAGGAUGAUUCCUCCUGAGGGGGAAGAAAGCAAAGGAGGCCAAGGCAAGGUGACUCAGAGAAAUUACCAGGUUGUUUGGAAUAAGGUAUCUCUGGUACAUGCACAUAGGGCAGAUUUUAAAUCAUCAAGUUUGCAGAAACUAGAAACAUGAUUAAUACACUCUUUCCCUCUCAUCCUUUUUUUUUCUCCUCCUCUGGCUUUCCAACUUCUAUCAAUAAAUUUAUGACAAAGGG